GGUUAGGGCUGGUGGUUAUUCGUUAGUUUUGUCGUUGCUGGUUGCCCCCUGCUGGUGCCCUUGACCAUUUGAUUGCUAGGAUCUGCUAUUCCAGUUGUUGGAAGAAGAUUGUCAGGUUCUCCUUUUGGCACAUCGCAGGUGAUAUUGGUAGGAACAUGAGGAGCCUCCAUUUCAGAGGUGCUGUUGUUGCUGCGGGUUGGUGCUUGGGGUUCGCAGCAGUUCCUCCAUGCACAGGCAUGGUCAUGGCGUUGAUGCGGAGAAGCUCAACGACAAUGGCAUACCACUGUUCAUUUUGACAUCGGACAGGGUAGUAUCAAUCUUUAUGCGUAAGUAUGUACUGCACAUACUCGUCUUAACUAAGUGUUCUUCUUUUCCAUGUGUACUGCCUCACCCAUAUCUCCAGGCUCAGGUAGUAUAUCUUUCCGUGACUAAAAACUAAUACCUUCACACUGACUGCUCUCCCUCUUAAUUAUGUGUGUUACUGAUUACCAUGAUAGGAGCCCUCCUUCCAUUAGGGCCAGGAAGAUUUUCGAAAAAAUGUUUAGGUAGUUGCUCUUUUUACAAAAUUAACUUACUCCCUAUUUCAUGUUGUUUAUGCACCUCUUUCCUAUUUCUCUGUUUCAGAUAAUGGUCGUGAAUUCAUAUGUUUGCACUCUAGAGUGUGUAAUUUGUGGAGGAAGGUGUAGUUUAUGUGAAUAAUCAGUUCGUGCUUUUAUCAUGAGUAUAGUACAUUCAAAAUUAACAAAAGCAAGAAUACAUAGCAGCGAUGUCGAUCAUGUAGGCUAUGAAAUUGCAUGUUUGUUGUUCCAGUAUGCAAAUUUACCAUGAUGUGGCAAGAGGUGCUUCCCUUUGUGAUGAUUAGUUUUCGCGAGAGGAUUUCCGUGAGGUUCUAUGCAAUGUCACAACGUUUGAUCUGAUCUUGGAGAAUCCACUGCUCAGAUCUUCAAUUAUUGGGAUUUCUUUUCUUGGUAGUUAAAGAUACCAAUUUGUUUGCAGCUUCUUGGAAUUUCUAGAGAAAUAAUUGGUAUAGAUUAACAAUGCAUGGUGCUAUGCUUGCAAAUGAUUUGGAUGGUAAAUACUAAAUAGUCCAGCAAACUAAAAAAAUGGAGUAGAGUCUUGGCCAAUGGGUCACCCUCAACUUCUUGAUGAUUGCAUGAACAACUCUAGAUGAUCAUGGAAAUCUUUCUGAUUGCUGCUUGGAGUCUCUGGAAGGAGCGUAAUAACAAUUAUUUUAGACAUGUGGUGCCUUCCGUUGACUUGUGGUGGACUAGGUUCAAGAUUGACUUUGGUAACCUUCUUUAUAGAAUGCCCAUUCAUAAGAGACAUGUUGUCUCUUCCAUUUUGCAAACUCUAAACUAA